rnacentral:rRNA from 1 species
UACAGAGGGGGCAAGCGUUGUUCGGAAUUACUGGGCGUAAAGGGCGCGUAGGCGGCCCGCUAAGUCGAACGUGAAAUCCCCGGGCUCAACCCGGGAACUGCGUCCGAUACUGGUGGGCUCGAGGACGGUAGGGGUGAGUGGAACUCCAGGUGGAGCGGUGAAAUGCGUAGAUAUCUGGAGGAACACCGGUGGCGAAAGCGGCUCACUGGACCGUCUCUGACGCUGAGGUGCGAAAGCCAGGGGAGCAAACGGG